GACGAACGCUGGCGGCGUGCCUAAUACAUGCAAGUCGAGCGGAUCUUGAAAAGCUUGCUUUUCCUGAUCAGCGGCGGACGGGUGAGUAACACGUGGGCAACCUGCCUGUAAGACUGGGAUAACUUCGGGAAACCGGAGCUAAUACCGGAUAAUCCUUUCCGACUCAUGUCGGAAAGUUGAAAGACGGUUUCGGCUGUCACUUACAGAUGGGCCCGCGGCGCAUUAGCUAGUUGGUGGGGUAACGGCCCACCAAGGCGACGAUGCGUAGCCGACCUGAGAGGGUGAUCGGCCACACUGGGACUGAGACACGGCCCAGACUCCUACGGGAGGCAGCAGUAGGGAAUCUUCCGCAAUGGACGAAAGUCUGACGGAGCAACGCCGCGUGAGCGAAGAAGGCCUUCGGGUCGUAAAGCUCUGUUGUCAGGGAAGAACAAGUACCGGAGUAACUGCCGGUACCUUGACGGUACCUGACCAGAAAGCCACGGCUAACUACGUGCCAGCAGCCGCGGUAAGAC
rnacentral:rRNA from 1 species